rnacentral:rRNA from 1 species
AGCGAACGCUGGCGGCAUGCCUAAUACAUGCAAGUCGAGCGAACCCUUCGGGGUUAGCGGCGGACGGGUGAGUAACACGUAGGCAACCUGCCCGUAAGACCGGGAUAACGUCGGGAAACCGAUGCUAAUACCGGAUAGAUUGAUCCUUCGCAUGGAGGAUCAAGGAAAGGCGGAGCAAUCUGCCACUUAUGGAUGGGCCUGCGGCGCAUCAGCUAGGUGGUGGGGUAACGGCUCACCAAGGCGACGAUGCGUAGCCGACCUGAGAGGGUGAUCGGCCACACUGGGACUGAGACACGGCCCAGACUCCUACGGGAGGCAGCAGUAGGGAAUCUUCGGCAAUGGGCGAAAGCCUGACCGAGCAACGCCGCGUGAGUGAAGAAGGGUUUCGGCUCGUAAAACUCUGUUGCCAGAGAAGAACGUAUGAGAGAGUAACUGCUCUUGGAGUGACGGUAUCUGAGAAGAAAGCCCCGGCUAACUACGUGCCAGCAGCCGCGGUAACAC